CAACCAGGGCCCGCUCGCCCGUCCGCUUCACCAGGAUUGGCGAGCGUCUCAGCCAAUGGAGAAGCGACAAGAGCGGCGGAGCGUCGGCGCCGAGGGGCGGGGGAUUGCGGAGGAGGUGGCUCCCACCCUUGGUCCUCCGCCGCCGGGUCGCGAUGAGGCUUUGACCCGGCUCCCUUUCAGAGCGAAGGGACGUGUGAUAGCUAUCCACACCUGUUCCAGCUGUAACAGCAACUAAAAGUAACCCCGCCUUAUAUGAACUGCUGCUACACUGAGUUUGGCAUCCACUAUUAGCCCUUAAUCAUACUGUCCUGAGGUGUUUGGGAUUGUAUCAUGUAGGCCAGUCUUAGCUCUCUAAUUAGAUGAUGAAGGAACUGAGGCCCUGUGACUCCUCUAGGAUCAGAGAGCUGGUCCUUGCUGCCUUCCAAGGAAUUUAUUCAGUCUGCACAAGCUGCUGGCUGCUCUGCUUGGCCGGGCCUGUGGUCAUCCACCCUGAGCGCUGGACACCCUCCAUUUCCUGCCAGGUGUUUCUGCCGCAGCUUCCUGAGGUGGUGCUGCACUUGCCCAGGGGGCCGCUUCCAACAUUCCCAAGGCUGCAGACUCUCUAGGAGCCCAAAGAGCCUUCUGCUCCCUCCAGACCUCCCAGCGCCAGUCUGUCUAUUUGCACAUGAAUUGGGGGAAAUGUUCCCCCUCCCUAAGGUUGAUCUCAGCCCCUGGAGCUGGGGUGAGCACCAAUACUAGGCUCUCUGCUUCCUUGCCCUGCUUUCACUUAGGAAUUCGCCUCGUUCAUUGCUUGCUCCUAGAACCUUCAAAAUGUUCCCCUUGAAGACACUUUUCCCCUUCUAAAUCACUCAGGCGGAUAAUUUGGAGGGAAAAAAAUGAGUCUUCUCUGACCCCACAUCUAUGCAAAUAGCUUAGAUCCGGCCAUACGUAUUUACUUGUACGUGAAUAUGUGAAAAUAUAUGAAUGUAUAUUUGAAAGUGUAAAACCAUAGUUACAAAUAUAGGCAUAUGAGUGAACAAACAGUUCAAAAAGGGACUCAAACACUAAGGGCUGUGCCCACUUUAUGAUUUUACCACUUGUUCCUGUUGGAAUUUUACUUUUACUGUGGUCCACUGCAUCCUUAUUAAUGUAGUUCCAGCUUACAACUAAUUCUGAAUGGGACACACUAUUUUGAUAUGUUUGGAAAGAUCUCCUUAUGCCUUUAAAUAUCGCCACUUUUUUAAACUUUGCCAAGGUCAUAAUGGAGUAAAAGUAUUUCAAAAAUACCAGAGCUUUAUUAUUAAUGUUAUUUUACAAGUUAAAUUAUACAUUAAGGGUCAAGUUGGAAAUGAUAAGAAAUGAUGGUACAAGAUUCAGUAACAAGCCAUGGUUGACAGAGAAAAGUGUAAGUGGGUGCUCAUCUUAUAUGUUUCACAUCCCUCUAUCCACUACAUCUUUUUUUGAAGUGAAAUCGAUAUUACUGCUUAUAUAGUAAGUAUAUAUCCCUUGACACAAACAUAUGUGACAUAUGAAUAAAUGGAAGAGGCGAUGAAGAUAUGUUAAAACAAACUUAUUCGGUCUUUCAGAGAACUCAUUAAAUUACUCUCACUUGGUUCUUAGGGUGGCUAAGCUUGAAAAAUCAGGCUCAAGAAAAUCUGUUGCCCAGGAAAAGAAUAUGUAAUUUAAGGCAAAAGAAUAAAAAA